rnacentral:lncRNA from 1 species
AACCACGGCUGAGGAGCCAUCCCCGUCAGCUCUGGUCCUUCAGGCUCCACAGGAAGAUCUGGACAACACCCCGAGGUCACCAUGGAGAUCCCACAGUGACCUCUGACACCUCCUGUGGUGGCACCUGAGGUCACCAACCCCAACCCAACCGUGGCUGACAGGUGACCCAGCUCAGCUCAUUGUCCUCCAGGCUCCACAGGAAGAUCUGGACAACACCCCGAGGUCACCAUGGACAUCCCUGACACCGUGGGGACCUCGGACACCUCCCUGGUGGUACCAGGUGUACCCCAGGUGUACCCAGGUGUCCCCAGGUGCAUCCAGGUGUCCCCAGGUGUGUCCCCAGGUGUCCCCAGGUGUGUCCAGGUGUAUCUCAGGUGUCCCCAGGUGUGUCCAGGUGUGUCCAGGUGUACCUUCUGGCCGAUGGCAGACACCAGGUAGCCGUGACAGUGACACAGGGCUGUCACCGGUCCCUUCUGCUCCUUCUCGUAGAGCACCUUGAACUUGUUCUUGGUGAGCGGCUGUCCCGGCUCCGGAACCACCUCGAUNUGUCAUUGUCACCAUGUCAUUGUCACUGGCAUUGUCACCGUGUCAUUGUCACCAGUAGUGUCACCGUGUCAUUGUCACAGUGUCACUGCCAUCACCAUUGCCGCCGUCGUCUUUGUGUCAUUGUCACCGUCACUGUCAGUAUCACUGUCACCAUCGCACCACUGUCACCGUGUCAUUGUCACCGUCAUGUCAUUGUCAUUGUCACCAUCACUGUCAGUAUCACUGUCACCAUCACACCACUGUCACCGUGUUGUUGUCAUCAUCAUGUCAUUGUCAUUGUCACCGUCACUGUCAUUGUCACCACCACCACCAUUGUCAUUGUCACUGUGUCACUGUCAUUGUCACAUCAUUGUCACAGUGAUGAUGACAACCGUGACAUGUCAUGACAAUGACAAUGACAGUCAUCC